AGAAUCAACGCUGGCGGCGUGCCUAACACAUGCAAGUCGAACGCGAAAGGGGAGCAAUCCCUGAGUAGAGUGGCAAACGGGUGAGUAACACGUGGGUGACCUGCCUUCGAGUGGGGGAUAACGUCCCGAAAGGGACGCUAAUACCGCAUGACAUCCUGCUCUUGGACGAGCGGAGAUCAAAGCUGGGGAUUCGCAAGAACCUGGCGCUUGAAGAGGGGCCCGCGCCUGAUUAGCUAGUUGGUGAGGUAAUGGCUCACCAAGGCUACGAUC
rnacentral:rRNA from 1 species